ACUAGCAGCCCGCGUGGCCAGCGCAGCCCGGGGCCGUUCUCAGCAGGUGCUUCGGGACGCGCAGCGCCGCAGCCUCCGCGGGGCCCUGGGGCCGGGGCGCGGGAGGCCGGAGGAGCCCGGGACUCCGCAGCCCGCCGGUCGGCUGAUGGGCUGGGAUACGCCAAGACUGGAGGAGAAGUGAGUGCAGCAGUAUCAAGUUGUAUUGGCAGGGCUCUGAGGCCCAAUACUGGGAUGGCAGGAGCCUUGCAGGUCAGGACAAAGUUCCUUUAGCAGAGCUGUGUACAAGAAGUUUGGGCUGUGGCUGGCUCCAGCUGAUGCUCCUAGUUUCACUAUGAUCCCCCUGAAUCCAAAAAUCCAGCAUAAAUUUAAGUAAUCAUCAUGUGAAUCCCCAACUGGAGCAAGCUUGGAAAAACCACUCCGAUGCAAUGUCUUGAUUUGUUGGGGAGGAACCAUGGGAGAAACAGGGCCAGGGCCAUGGAAAAGGGAUGGAAUGGGAUGGGGCCGCAAGCCAAAGGGGGAGAACAGAGGUAGGACCACAGGCAGAAGGGGCAGGGAGGGGCCCCCCACUUGCUCUGGCCCAGGAGACCUUAAUCCACCUCUGCCCCUUCCCUGCAUACUGGUCCCUUCCAGCCAACGUUGCCUGAGAGGUAACAGCUUUUACUGGACCAAACGAUACCGACAAAAAACACUGUCACCCGUGGGCAAGCGCUUGUCACACAGCGCUCACUCCAGGUCUGAUCUUUCCACCCUGUCCUCAAAGGAAACCUGCCUGACACCUUCCAAAGCCGAGCCUGGCGCUUGCAUUCAUAACUUUGCUGCACACUAAAAACCAUGGACUGAACGGGCACUUUUAUCCCAGGACUCUCGCUCUCCCCGGGCUUGCAAAGGCCCUUUCACGCCUCCACCUUCUCCCCAGUCCCAGGCAAGAGAUGGCAUGGCAGCAGCACAGAAGCCCUGGAUUCAAUCCCUCUCCUUCCCCUUCGCUCUGGCAUCAGGAACCAGGAAGGAGGAACUCGCCUAGGCUCGAAUUCAGUGCCAGUGGCCCAUUUCCAGGGCUGGCCUGGGUCCUCCGGAGGCCGAUCCAGUGAUCAGGGAAACCCUCGUAGCACAGCAUGAAAACCUGGGGGAAAUAAGGAAAGCAGAGGGAGAGCAGGUAUCCAACCCUGCUCACUGGUCCCUGUCGCACAGGACUCUGUGCCCGGGGAGUCUGUGCUCUCUCCCACCGCAGCAGGGCAGGGAGCCUCAAAGGGAAGGCUUAGCAUGAAAGGAGGCCUCACCCUCAGUGGGAUACCCCCUUCCCCGCUUCUCAUGGUCAUACAAGGAUAACAGCAGACUCAACUGGCCUGGCCCUACAGAGGGGGAUUCACCCAUCUAGGCUUUAAGGGCAGGCAGGUGAGUCUCAUCACUCUGACCUCCCAGCCACAUGGACUGAGCCCAGCCUGAUUCCAGCCCUGCCAGUCGUUGCCAGGCCCAGGCUGUUGUGACGACAGAAGCAUCUGUGUGUUUCUCUCACUGCGCCCUGCUCACCGUCGAUCCCAGCCAAGGAGGCACUGAGGGAAGAGCAGUGGCUCUGGCUGCAGCUCCAGUUUGCUUGGACUGCUGGGAAACAGUAACAUUUAACUUGGAACCCGCCCCAGCUGACCGGGCCCCAGGUCCUUGCAGAGGGUGCGGUAUGAGCAGUGGUGCGCGGAGCAGCCAAAGGGAACUACUCCAUAUGAAGCCAGUCAGGACUCUGGGGGAGACACCUCUCCAUGAGCAUGCUGUCUCCAGGGCAAGAAGCUUACACUGCUUCGACCUUCCUGGGUCUGCCUCGGAGCAUUCAGCAUCCCCUUCUCACACCGUGCGCUUCCCGCAGCGAGUCCGCACAGGCGGGGCUCCGGGGGAAGCCAGAGGGCUCUGCACCCCAACUCCGCAGUCAGAUGUGACUCCUAGCCAGCCAGUAAAACAGAAGGUUUAUUAGACGACAGGAACACGAUCUAAAACAGAGCUUGGAGGUACAGAGAACAGGACCCUUCAGUCAGGUCCAUCUUGGGGGGGCAGGGAGGCCAGAGCCCCAUCUGGUCCUUCCUCUAUUUCCCCAGCCAGCUCCAAACUGAAACUCUCCAGCCCCUCCUCUCUCGCCUUUGUCUCUUUCCCGGGCCAGGAGGACACCUGAUCUUUUUGUUCUCCAACCCCUUCAGUUGCACCUUUGCAGGGGAGGGGCCCAGGCCAUCUGUUGCCAGGAAACAGGGUGUCGGCCAUUCUCUGUCCAGACAGCCUCACACUGGCUCUGUAGGGCUCUGCAACAAUCACACACCCUUAUUCCCCUACAUAGAUACUUAAGCACUGCAUAGGGGAAACUGAGGCACCCACACAGUAUUCAGAGAGAACAUUAAGAACAGUCCCGCUUCAUCACAGCUGCUACCACUGAAAAUGAGAGAGUUAAGAGAGCCUUGAGUUAUGCACAUCAAGAGUUUUCCACCUUGCCCAAUUUGUUUGCAUCCCUCUCUGGGCUGCAAUAACUCAACAGCAGACAAUUUUUAAACCUUCCCAGGUGGUGUGAUCGCACAUCACUGCAUAGCAGUAGUGAGGCACCAUGGUCUAGUGGCAAGAGGACUAGACUGGGGUCAGGGUUCAAUUCCUACAUGUGCCACUGAUCUGCUGGGUGUCCCUGGGCAAGUCCCUUCCCUGUGCUCGUUUACCCUCCCAUCCUCUGUUUAGGCCUCGUCUAGACCCAAGGUUCCCCACUACUCUUGACUGUGUCCUGUUAGCACCUUUAAAGACGUAUUCAACACUUUCUACACUACAUGCUAUGAGGGUUUUAAGCACAACAGCUGUUUUCCCCCCAAGUUUAGGCAAGGCCUUAGAUGCUAAGUUCUUGGGGACAGGGACUGUCUCUCCCUUUGUGUCUGUGCAGCGCCUGGCACAAUGGAGCCCUGAUCUCAGUGAGGGUUUCUAGGUGCUACCGUAAAAUGCUUUUUUUAUACAAGUGACUUUUCAUUUUUAGGAAGUGAGGAAGCCGAGAGUAAAGGCAGAGCGUGCCCAGCACAACACAUUUCCCUGCAGAGCCACUUGUGUCCCUAUAAAAGCUGGCACACGCCCUUUGUGUAUCUGGGCAUUUAAAGUCAUCAGUGAUAAGACACAGCCUGCUGUGGCUAUUUUCUGUACUGCCUUAGAGGAGCUCUCAGGAGCAGUUGUGAUGGGCAAUGGUAAAAUUAUGAACAUUUGAAAUCUGAUGUGCAGGCCCCAGAACGAAGUCUGCCAGCCCAGCUGGGCCCUUGUCCAAGCUACUGGAAAGAAAGGGGCACUCUGAUGGCAUCAAAAGAAGCCUUUCAUUUCUGGGAGCCUCUGACUGCGUUUGCUUCCCCAAUUCCUCUCCUAUGCCCCAUAUACUGUCACCUGCUCUGGAAGGAGCCCUGCACCAGGAGGUGUUUGGAUCCAACACUCACCACAGAUCACUGCAAUAGUCACAUUCCAAUAACCCCAAGAACUAAUUUCUGGUCCUCCCAGACAGCUAUUAAAUGCUCCUAACAAAUGCCCAGUAGCCAACAGCCCCCUCCCAAAAUACUGCACAUCGAUAGGUUCAUAUUCAACGGCAUAAGCCGCAAACCCUCUGAUCAUCCCAUACAGGUCUGUGCAACAGGGGCCAAUUAACAUCCCUGUGGGGAGCCUGCACUUCACAGUCUGCCUCAGGGUUAAAACUCUCCGCUUUAGCGCUGCAUUAACCCAGCUGUCCAGGUUGGAUCAUAAAGCACGAGCCGUGGGUGUCCCUGCUCUGGCUUUCGCAGGUGUGAGCUCUGCCUGGGACUGAUGCGGGAGUGGGAUGGGAAUGGAAGAGGGGUGAGAAUGUAGAUUCAGAAAGGCCAGGGCAUUAGCCUCACAUGCUCUGCAGACAGGGUUACCCAGCUUCCUAAGAGCUGAGGGUGGGGACUGAAUUCCGCCCAGUAACCCAGAUUUAUGUCUAAGGAGUCCCACGUUACUAUAAGGAGUAGAAGAUGCCGGGGGGAGCUGGAUGUAGUGUCCUGUUUAAAGCCAUUUGGAGCUUGGAUUGCAGAGCCUAGUGAGAGGGGGGAGCAGAAAAUGUGUAACUGACAGCUUCAGAGAGAGGAUGGGCAGCACAGAGCCUGGAGAAUGGAGGGCUGGAACUUACCUGCUGGAGUAACUAGGGUGAUGGGCAAGAUUGCCAAUUCACUCCAUGUGUAGCUGUGUUUCCUGAACUGGCGUUUAUGUUGAUAACCUGAAAGAGAAAACCAUUGAUGCUUUUGAGGCUGCACUAAAGGAGGAGCCUGGUGGGUGGGGGGACUAGAGACAGGGUUAGUCUCCAGUGGGUGAGGGCAACACUCAGAUAGUAACACAACUCAUCUGCAUGGUAACACUCAGGAAAGUUAAGGGGAAUCAACUAAUGCUGUGAUAUUAAUGUGCAUAACUUGGACUGCAUUAAUCCCCGGUGUGGAUGCUCCAGAACUGAAGUAAAGGGGCUUUCAUUCAUAACCUAAUCCUCUUUAAGGGUAAUUUGUGGAUUGCUGUGACAAUGCUACAAACAACAAAAUAUUUACAUGCACAGAUGUAGGGCUCUGCAUGUGGACACCUUUCCACAUGCCCACAUCACUCACAUAUUUCAAAGUCUGUCCCUUAAAAUGACCAGAAGAAGGAAAAGGUGAAGUGAAAGAGGAAGACCAAAGGAGAGGCCUGGACCAGAAUUUACAGAGGGAGUAUGAUCAGGGUGGAUUGAUUUAAAUCAAAGUGAUUGAUUUAAAUCAAAUCACAGAUUUUAAUCAUGAUUUAAAUCAGCAAGCGGGAAACCUUAAUUAAAAUCAAUUAUUUAAAACAUGUUUUGCAUUUGUACUUUUUAGUUAUUUUCCUAAAGAGAGGUUGUUUCUCAUUGUUUAACCAUUAGUAACCAUUAAAACAUGUUGAUUUGUAACUAAAUAUUGCUUUUACACUACAUUUGGUGCUUCAUUUUGCUAAGCAGGAGGACAUGCUAUAUCUGUACACAUUUUUUUAAGCAUUUAUGUAGGUUAACUUAAGAAUCUGAAUAAAUGUAAUUUUUAUAUUUCA